rnacentral:rRNA from 1 species
UCGUCGUAUGUUAUAUGUGUCAUACGAGACUGCCGGUAAAAAGACCGGAGGAAGGUGAGGAUGAUGUCAAGUCAGCAUGACCUUUAUAUCCAGGGCUACACACACGCUACAAUGGUCUGUACAAUGGGUAGCCAAGCCGCGAGGCGGAGCCAAUCCUGAAAGCAGGCCUCAGUUCAGAUUGCAGUCUGCAACUCGACUGCAUGAAGCCGGAGUUGCUAGUAACCGCAGGUCAGCAAUACUGCGGUGAAUACGUUCCCGGGUCUU